AAGAACUCCUACACGGUUAACAACCUCUCUCAUUAAUAUAAAAUUUUCACGUCCCUUUUCCAUGAGGAAAUUAACAUUACCACCGUCUUGGUCUCGCAAGUCGCAAGGCACAUGUUUGUCACUCUAAUUGGACUUGUCUUGCUCCACCAUAUUUCUUGCAUUGAGAUACUUCCCUCACCUUUUCUUCCUUCAUCAUCUACCUCGUGACCUUCAUUUGUUAUUUGCUUCACCUCCUUUCUAUCCUCCACGCCUUGUGUGACUUUCACUUAAUGAAGGUGUAAGUUAGACCCGUGUUGUAACCAAAUCACUUGCCGGAGGACGCUAAACAUUAUUUGUUGUUAUAUUGUAUGAAAUGAAUCAAUAUUUUCAUACAAUAUAACAACAUAUGUGCACAAACUACUGUUUCGUCUCUCAUGACAAGGGAUUCGAUUCGGUCCAAAGAUAUCAGGCUAAAAAAAAUUACUUUUAGUUUUUAUAAAAUAAAAAAGUCACAUUUAUCAGGAAAAAAAGAUUUUAUAUGUCGACAAAAAAAUCUAAUAUGUAAUUUUUCAUUUAAAAUAAAAUAUUUCUUUUAAAAUUUAUUUUAGGCCUCACUUCUGGAAGACAGAUGCUAUUUUGGUUAUCAACAAAGUCCAGCUUACACCUUUAUCAAUAUGAGCAUGCUUAUCAACACCUAUCUAGUGUUCUGGUUGGUACUCAUACUUAAAUGGCUCCAGCUUGUUUUGAAGUGCAUAAGGGUGUAGGUUGUACUGAAUUUUAUUGUGAUGUACUUCUAAAUUAAAUGGAGGGUGGAUAUACCCUAAGGAGCUUUUAAAUAUAAUUUAUUGUUUCUUUCUAUGUAAUUUUGUUUUGAAUUAUGGCUUCUGCAAAUUCUUGGAGUUCAAGGUAGUUUCCUGCAACGAUAUGCUUCUUUGCACUCGAUGCUUUUAUCCAACUUGCUUUAAAGAAGGAGGUGUUUGUUUUCUUUUCUAUUUUACCAACUUAAUUGUUGAAUACUAUAAAGACAUGAAUAGAAGCUCACUCAUGUUCUCUAUAGGGACAUUAGCAACAUAACUAUAUUGCAAGGCAUGAUUCGGCUGAUUCUGUAAGCUCAGUCUGACAAAGAUGCAACAAUCAAUCACAUUAUAGAAGCAUUUAAUCUAUCUAGCCAAAAAUUCAAAAAUAGUGUCAAAAUAACAGCAAACAGAACCAGUAUAGAAGAAACUAACUGAUAAAGAGAACUAUUAAGGUAGCAAGCCAUCGUUGAAAAAGUGGGAGCAUAAUCUUCUGAAACUCAGCCAUGCUAGUCCUUUCCAAAAUCUCUUCCAACUCACUUUGGCUAUUUGUUACUGGUCAGUAAUUUAAUACUCCCUUUAUUACAGAGCUAGCCAAUUUUUUUAUCCUUAUCGGUGAACUGUACAACACAAUAUGUUAACUGUUGAUGAUAAAUACCAACAGAUUUAGGUUUGUGCAAAGGAAUUAAAGCCAUACUCUUCCAGUCUUCCUUCAAUGGCAAGGCAAACCCACUAAGAAUUACAAAGUGUAACUAAGACCAAAGUAUGGAAUGAAUUUUUGAGCUUAAUGUUAUGAUAGCUAGUUUACUUUAAGGAAUAAUCCUCCAUUUUAGUCCAAGAUUGUAAACAUUAGUCACUUUAGUCCUUACUAACUUCAUAAAAUCAUCACUUUAGUCCUUGACACUUGAUAGUUGCAAUAAGUCUUUAAUUUUAACAUUUUUUAUCUUAAUUGUCCAUUGUCAUUUUGCACCAAAAAAGAAUAAAGUGAAUUAUGCUUUGCAAAGUUAAGGAUUAAAGUGAUGGAUACUUGAACUUAGGAGGAUAUCAAUCCUUUUGUCAUAAGGCUAUAUAGAAGGUGCCCUUUUCCAGUAUCAAUGAGCAAAAGUGUAGUUCAAUUAAUAAUUGAAUUCUUUCUUUUUCUCCUUUUUUUUUUGAAUGGUGAUCAUAUUUCAGGCUGGCAAUAUUUUAGUCUCCUACUGUACAAUGCAUUGUGGUUGUGGAGAAAGCUUUAACUCAAGCAACAGAGCUUCGAAGGAUCUCCAUUUGGUUGGUGCAAGCAUGCCUGUUAUAGGAGUCCAUGCUUGGGGUAAGGUUGCUCAUUUUGUUACACCUUUUAACUAUGACAACUUGGAAGAAAAUCAUGCUGCUUUGAAUGGUUUCUUCCUUCUGGUUUUAAAGCUUAAAAGGCUUAUUACUUCAAUAUCCUUGCGUAGGGAGUUCUUUUGCUACUAGAAGUUGAAGGUUUAGAUUUCUUAUAUGGAAAAGUCCAAAACAUGGUGGCUUUGUUGCUUCAAAUUGUUCCCAACACGUACAAGUUGACAUGAAACGUGGAGUACUUGUCUUGUUAUUAUUGAUACACAAGUGACAGUUUCCAAGAAAUAAGCUUUAAUUUGGUAACCAUUUUUGGGUUGACAAAUGACAAGACAUGAUGUAUCAUGACAUAUUUUGUAAGUAUGAGACAUGAGCAAAUUGUUAUACUUUGUAUUAUGUACAUUAUUCAAUUGUUUAAAAGGUUGAAAAUGAAUCUAAAUUGGUAUUGAGUAAA